GACGAACGCUGGCGGCGUGCUUAACACAUGCAAGUCGAACGGAAAGGCCCUGCUUUUGUGGGGUGCUCGAGUGGCGAACGGGUGAGUAACACGUGAGUAACCUGCCCUUGACUUUGGGAUAACUUCAGGAAACUGGGGCUAAUACCGGAUAGGAGCUCCUGCUGCAUGGUGGGGGUUGGAAAGUUUCGGCGGUUGGGGAUGGACUCGCGGCUUAUCAGCUUGUUGGUGGGGUAGUGGCUUACCAAGGCUUUGACGGGUAGCCGGCCUGAGAGGGUGACCGGCCACAUUGGGACUGAGAUACGGCCCAGACUCCUACGGGAGGCAGCAGUGGGGAAUAUUGCACAAUGUGCGGAAGCCUGAUGCAGCAACGCCGCGUGCGGGAUGACGGCCUUCGGGUUGUAAACCGCUUUCGCCUGUGACGAAGCGUGAGUGACGGUAAUGGGUAAAGAAGCACCGGCUAACUACGU
rnacentral:rRNA from 1 species